GAUGAACGCUGGCGGCGUGCCAAAUACAUGCAAGUCGAGCGAAUGGAUUAAGAGCUUGCUCUUAUGAAGUUAGCGGCGGACGGGUGAGUAACACGUGGGUAACCUGCCCAUAAGACUGGGAUAACUCCGGGAAACCGGGGCUAAUACCGGAUAACAUUUUGAACCGCAUGGUUCGAAAUUGAAAGGCGGCUUCGGCUGUCACUUAUGGAUGGACCCGCGUCGCAUUAAGUAGUUGGUGAGGUAACGGCUCACCAAGGCAACGAUGCGUAGCCGACCUGAGAGGGUGAUCGGCCACACUGGGACUGAGACACGGCCCAGACUCCUACGGGAGGCAGCAGUAGGGAAUCUUCCGCAAUGGACGAAAGUCUGACGGAGCAACGCCGCGUGAGUGAUGAAGGCUUUCGGGUCGUAAAACUCUGUUGUUAGGGAAGAACAAGUGCUAGUUGAAUAAGCUGGCACCUUGACGGUACCUAACCAGAAAGCCACGGCUAACUACGUGCCAGCCGCCGCGGUAA
rnacentral:rRNA from 1 species